AGAGUUUGAUCCUGGCUCAGGACGAACGCUGGCGGUGUGCUUCACACAUGCAAGUCGAACGGAGUAGCAAUACUCAGUGGCGGACGGGUGAGUAACACGUGGGAAUCUACCAUUAGGUGGGGAAUAACAGGCCGAAAGGACUGCUAAUGCCGCAUAUGUAGGCAUCUCGACAGAGAUGUUUAUGAAAGGAGUAAUCCGCCUUUUGAUGAGCCCGCGUCCGACUAGCUAGUUGGUAGGGUAAAAGCCUACCAAGGCGACGAUCGGUAGGUGGUCUGAGAGGAUGAUCACCCACAAUGGGACUGAGACACGGCCCAUACUCCUACGGGAGGCAGCAGUGGGGAAUUUUACGCAAUGGGGGAAACCCUGACGUAGCGACACCGCGUGAGCGAAGAAGCCCUUUGGGGUGUAAAGCUCUGUCAACAGGAACGAAACAAAUGACGGUACCUGUGGAGGAAGCAUCGGCUAACUACGUGCCAGCAGCCGCGGUAAGACGUAGGAUGCAAGCGUUGUCCGGAUUUAUUGGGCGUAAAGAGUUCGUAGGCGGUUUGUUAAGUCUGAUGUUAAAGACCGGGGCUCAACCUCGGAAAUGCAUUGGAUACUGGCAGACUGGAGUGCAGUAGAGGCUAGUGGAAUUCCCAGUGUAGCGGUGAAAUGCGUA
rnacentral:rRNA from 1 species